GCCACUGUGUCUUACAAAUCUGACCGCCUGA
rnacentral:piRNA from 1 species